AUUGAACGCUGGCGGCAGGCCUAACACAUGCAAGUCGAGCGGAGCGGCGGACGGGUGAGUAAUGCCUAGGAAUCUGCCUGGUAGUGGGGGAUAACGUCCGGAAACGGGCGCUAAUACCGCAUCCUAUCAGAUGCGCCUGGGUCGGGUUAGCUAGUGGUGGGGGUAAAGGCCUACCAAGGCGACGAUCCGUAACUGGUCUGAGAGGAUGAGAAGGCACACUGGAACUGAGACACGGUCCAGACUCCUACGGGAGGCAGCAGUGGGGAAUAGUGGACAAUGGGCGAAAGCCUGAUCCAGCCAUGCCGCGUGGAUGAAGAAGGUCUUCGGAUUGUAAAGCACUUUAAGUUGGGAGGCGUUACCAACAGAAUAAGCACCGGCUAACUCCGUGCCAGCAGCCGCGGUAAUUC
rnacentral:rRNA from 1 species